rnacentral:rRNA from 1 species
UACGGGGGGAGCAAGCGUUGUUCGGAUUUACUGGGCGUAAAGGGCGCGUAGGCGGCCAGCACAAGUCAGUUGUGAAAUCUCCGAGCUUAACUCGGAAAGGUCAACUGAUACUGUGCGGCUAGAGUGCAGAAGGGGCAACUGGAAUUCUUGGUGUAGCGGUGAAAUGCGUAGAUAUCAAGAGGAACACCUGCGGCAAAGGCGGGUUGCUGGGCUGACACUGACGCUCAUGCACGAAAGCGUGGGGAGCAAACAGG